rnacentral:rRNA from 1 species
GCCGGGGGGGGCGUGCUAUACAUGCAAGUAGAACGCUGAAGAGAGGAGCUUGCUCUUCUUGGAUGAGUUGCGAACGGGUGAGUAACGCGUAGGUAACCUGCCUUGUAGCGGGGGAUAACUAUUGGAAACGAUAGCUAAUACCGCAUAACAAUGGAUGACACAUGUCAUUUAUUUGAAAGGGGCAAUUGCUCCACUACAAGAUGGACCUGCGUUGUAUUAGCUAGUAGGUGAGGUAACGGCUCACCUAGGCGACGAUACAUAGCCGACCUGAGAGGGUGAUCGGCCACACUGGGACUGAGACACGGCCCAGACUCCUACGGGAGGCAGCAGUAGGGAAUCUUCGGCAAUGGGGGCAACCCUGACCGAGCAACGCCGCGUGAGUGAAGAAGGUUUUCGGAUCGUAAAGCUCUGUUGUAAGUCAAGAACGAGUGUGAGAGUGGAAAGUUCACACUGUGACGGUAGCUUACCAGAAAGGGACGGCUAACUACGUGCCAGCAGCCGCGGUAAUACGUAGGUCCCGAGCGUUGUCCGGAUUUAUUGGGCGUAAAGCGAGCGCAGGCGGUUUGAUAAGUCUGAAGUUAAAGGCUGUGGCUCAACCAUAGUUCGCUUUGGAAACUGUCAAACUUGAGUGCAGAAGGGGAGAGUGGAAUUCCAUGUGUAGCGGUGAAAUGCGUAGAUAUAUGGAGGAACACCGGUGGCGAAAGCGGCUCUCUGGUCUGUAACUGACGCUGAGGCUCGAAAGCGUGGGGAGCGAACAGGAUUAGAUACCCUGGUAGUCCACGCCGUAAACGAUGAGUGCUAGGUGUUGGAUCCUUUCCGGGAUUCAGUGCCGCAGCUAACGCAUUAAGCACUCCGCCUGGGGAGUACGACCGCAAGGUUGAAACUCAAAGGAAUUGACGGGGGCCCGCACAAGCGGUGGAGCAUGUGGUUUAAUUCGAAGCAACGCGAAGAACCUUACCAGGUCUUGACAUCCCGAUGCUAUUUCUAGAGAUAGAAAGUUACUUCGGUACAUCGGUGACAGGUGGUGCAUGGUUGUCGUCAGCUCGUGUCGUGAGAUGUUGGGUUAAGUCCCGCAACGAGCGCAACCCCUAUUGUUAGUUGCCAUCAUUCAGUUGGGCACUCUAGCGAGACUGCCGGUAAUAAACCGGAGGAAGGUGGGGAUGACGUCAAAUCAUCAUGCCCCUUAUGACCUGGGCUACACACGUGCUACAAUGGUUGGUACAACGAGUUGCGAGUCGGUGACGGCAAGCUAAUCUCUUAAAGCCAAUCUCAGUUCGGAUUGUAGGCUGCAACUCGCCUACAUGAAGUCGGAAUCGCUAGUAAUCGCGGAUCAGCACGCCGCGGUGAAUACGUUCCCGGGCCUUGUACACACCGCCCGUCACACCACGAGAGUUUGUAACACCCGAAGUCGGUGAGGUAACCUUUUGGAGCCAGCCGCUUAAGGUGGGAAUAGAUUU